ensembl:lncRNA
ACAGUCUGUAGUUUCCCAGAUUAAUUCCAGAAACAUUUAGGGCGGAGCUUGCUGUUUUGAAUGAUGCUGAUUGGUCAAACGCAAGUUUCACAGCAUGACCAAACUUCUCACCUAGCAUUUCUGGGUUAAGCUAAUGACUAAUUACUGAAGCAUCAUGGCAGUGUCAUGGUUCCUGCAGGAAACAAAACGCUGAGGAACCUUUGGUGGUAAAUGUGGAAAAAGUAAGUAGAAGACCCCACGAGGGGGCAGCAGGUGGAACAAGAGGGUCUGCUGAAGUCCAGCCAGGAUGGAGGCCUCAGUGCGGACUGGCGUAGACUCAGGCAACAUGGUGAACCAGACAGAGUGUGUAAUCAGACAGGAGGAGCUGUAUGUGUGUGUGUGUGUGUGUGUGUGGCUUGCUUACAGAACUGAAGAUGAACACAGCCGUCCUGUGAGACAGACACUCUACUGCACACACACCUGGGCCCAGAAAUCUGUGUGUUUGUCAUCCAAAAUGUGCGAAUGUCACACUUACACCCACACAAGCACGCGCAAACACAAUCUUGAGUCGCUUAUCAAUCCAAACGUUGCUCUCAAUGUUUCCUCAGUCGCGUUCCCAUUUACAUUUCCUUCCAAACGUUAGCAAACAGAUGGCAGCCAAUAGUUUAAAAAUAUAAUUAGUCGUGAACAAAUGUGCUACUUCGCUGGGGAAAAGUCACAUGUGCACAUCCCAAAUGAGGAUUUCUCCGCGGUUUUAGUUUGAAACGAGACUAAACGCGCUUUCCGUGGGAUCGAUUUGGAAAAUCAGUGCUGCGGAUUAAAGCCCGAAGAGUAAAAAACGAGGACGAGACGGACGCGAGUUCUGAACCGUGCAUCAAUAUUCGACCCUUGAUGUCUUGUAUGUUAAUCAGGGGCAGUGGUGGCUUGGUGGUUAAAGGCUCUGGGUGACUGCUCAGAAGGUCAGGAGUUCAAACCCCAGCACUGCCAAGCUACCACUGCUGGGCCCUUGAGAAAGGCCCUUAACCCUCAAUCGCUCAGUCGUAUAAAUGAAUAUAAAUUGUUGUAGUGCGGUUGUAUUAAGCCCUCGCUUCAAAAUCGCAACUUUCAUGCUACUGCAAAACCGCCGUCGAUGCCAUCAACGCUCGAUCGCUAACGAACCAAGCUGAGUUUUCUGUGCUAACUCAGCACAACUGUCUGUUAUAGCAUUUACACCAGCUCUACUACUUCUACGCUAGCUUUCUCGUUAAUAUGAUACUAAACGGGGGGCAGUGGUAGCUUAGCGGUUAAGGUUCUGGGUUACUGAGCGGAAGGUCGUGGGUUCAAGCCACAGGCUGCUGGGCCCUUAAGCAAGGCCUUUACCCCUCUCUGCUCCAGGGGCGCCAUAUCAUGGUUCACCCUGCGCUCUGACUCCAACCUCCUAGCAAGAAUUUCACUGUGCUGUGACCAAUAAAGACUCAUUCUCAUUAUCAAACAUGGCUGUAAAACGGUGAGUGAGAAAGAACCUGGUCGUUAUCACUCGUGUUUGGAGCUUAAGUUCAGUUUAAUCAGGCGACCACAAUGCGUGCUACAUAAUUUUAGCUAGCUUUCAAACUUGACUCCUGGAAGCUUGUGAACGUAUGACGCUACACAAUAAGAAUAAUGACAUAAUUCUAGCUCGUAAUGUCUGCUAACAGAUGUUAACUCGUUUUAGCUAAGCUGGUUUGGUUAGCUAGUUUACUGGUAUACCAGUGGUUGUGGUAUUCAACCUGCUAUGUUAUGCUAGUCAGUGUCCUUUUGAGGUUUGUGAUUGGCUGAUUGGAUUUAAACUAAACAUAAGUGCUGAUCUUGUUGACCCAGGGAUCAUUCAACCAAAUCAGGAGUUGUGUGUGUGUGUGUGUGUGUGUGUGUGUGUGUGUGUGUGGUCAAAGGCUUUUAGUAGAACAUCAUAUAUCGAACCUCGAGAGAGCUUUCAGUACUUUUGCGUCUUCUGUCUUGCUAUAUUCCCUUUUACUCCCCCUUUCUACGCUCUUAAUUAAUUUCUCCUGUGCCUUCAUUUCUUGUUUUCCAUCCCGUCUCCUCUUCAUCCCAUUCUUCUAGGACGCUUUUAGAUUUGCAUAACCUCUUAGCUGGUCCCUGCGUGCUGAUGGACCGGAGCUCAUGUUUAUUAAAUGUUUGCUGAUGAUAGCAGACAUGUCUUUCUCUCUCUCUCUCUCUCUCUCUCUCUCUCUCUCUCUCACACACACACACACAUACACGCACUCGCAAUCUCUCCUUUUCCAUUACUUUCUCUACCGUGAUAUUAGGGGCUGUGUCUGUGUGCCAUCAUUCUUUCACGCUGCUGUGCUGUGCUGAAUGCAGCUCCCGGUCCCUGUUGCUCUGAGGGUCCCGCUCUGAAUGGAAAUGAGGGGACUCUAUAAUGAGUUCCACUCAUCCCGGGUUCCUGACCCUGCUGGCAACUGCGCGUUAAGAAGGGAUAGAAAGGAAAAAGAAAAGGACAGGGGAAGGCAAGAGGCUACAAGGCCAGGGUAAAAAAAAAAAAUCGUGUUUUUUUUCCCCUCCUCCCGCGUUUUACCUUCUAUCUCGGGAAGACGGGAUUGCUGAGUAGCUUCCAUGUUCCAUGAUCGUUCUGUUGCUGUAGACCUUCGCUCGAUUCUCCGACAUUCAUUACAGCCACCACAUAUCAAAUCCAGUAGUAUGCCGGUUCAGCUUUGUCUUUCAAACUUGCUUUACUAUAUUGAGGUCAUAUUGGACGAAAAUUCCUUCAGGAACCUCCGAGGAACCCUCCUGAAGAAGAACUCCACAAUUGCCGGACGAGUGAGUUCCUGUUCCGCAUUUCCACCACGGAUCGUGACCACCGUAUAUGCAAAAAUAGCAAGUGAUCCGAAAUGUGAGAUGGUUACAACAAAGUGAACAUGAAAGACUCGCUUGCUUUUGUCCAAUCAGCAACGUUCAGAGCAGAAAGCUCCACCCCUAUAGUUCCUGUUCUGUACAAAAGUACUGACUUGAAAGCAAGAAGUAAAAAUAUUCCAGGAACUACAACGCAAGAGGAAAAUUGCUGACCCAGGAACAGGAAGUAAAACUGGUCUAGGAACUACAGUACAACCCAGGAAGUACUGACCCAGGAGCAGGAAAUAAAACUGAUCAAGGAACUACAGUACAACCCAGGAAGUACUGACCCAGGAGCAGGAAGUAAAACUGGUCUAGGAACUACAGAACAACCAGGAAGUACUGACCCAGGAGCAGGAAGUAAAACUGAUCUAGGAACUACAAUACAACCCAGGAAGUACUGACCCAGGAGCAGGAAGUAAAACUGGUCUAGGAACUACAGUACAACCAGGAAGUACUGACCCAGGAGCAGGAAGUAAAACUGAUCUAGGAACUACAGUACAACCCAGGAAGUACUGACCCAGGAGCAGGAAGUAAAACUGGUCUAGGAACUACAGUACAACCAGGAAGUACUGACCCAGGAGCAAGAAGUAAAACUGAUCUAGGAACUACAGUACAACCCAGGAAGUACUGACCCAGGAGCAGGAAGUAAAACUGAUCUAGGAACUACAGUACAACCCAGGAAGUACUAACCCAGGAGCAGGAAGUAAAACUGAUCGAGGAACUACAUACAAACCCAGGAAGUACUGACCCAGGAGCAGGAAGUAAAACUGAUCGAGGAACUACAGUACAACCCAGGAAGUACUGACCCAGGAGCAGGAAGUAAAACUGGUCUAGGAACUACAGUACAACCCAGGAAGUACUGACCCAGGAGCAGGAAGUAAAACUGAUCAAGGAACUAAAGUACAACCCAGGAAGUACUAACCCAGGAGCAGGAAGUAAAACUGGUCUAGGAACUACAGUACAACCAGGAAGUACUGACCCAGGAGCAGGAAGUAAAACUGAUCUAGGAACUACAGUACAACCCAGGAAGUACUAACCCAGGAGCAGGAAGUAAAACUGGUCUAGGAACUACAGUACAACCCAGGAAGUACUAACCCAGGAGCAGGAAGUAAAACUGAUCGAGGAACUACAGUACAACCCAGGAAGUACUGACCCAGGAGCAGGAAGUAAAACUGAUCUAGGAACUAUAGUACAACCCAGGAAGUACUGACCCAGGAGCAGGAAGUAAAACUGAUCUAGGAACUAUAGUACAACCCAGGAAGUACUGACCCAGGAGCAGGAAGUAAAACUGAUCUAGGAACUAUAGUACAACCCAGGAAGUACUGACCCAGGAGCAGGAAGUAAAACUGAUCGAGGAACUACAGUACAACCAGGAAGUACUGACCCAGGAGCAGGAAGUAAAACUGAUCUAGGAACUACAGUACAACCAGGAAGUACUGACCCAGGAGCAGGAAGUAAAACUGAUCUAGGAACUACAGUACAACCAGGAAGUACUGACCCAGGAGCAGGAAGUAAAACUGAUCUAGGAACUACAGUACAACCCAGGAAGUACUGACCCAGGAGCAGGAAGUAAAACUGGUCUAGGAACUACAGUACAACCCAGGAAGGAAAGUCCAGACGUAAGAGCAGGAAGUAGAAAGGUUCCAGGAAAUACAACCCAAGACGAAAACGACGUCCUGUAUUGAAUAAACAUUAAUCAAAUUUUCCAUUUGACACAAUAGGAGGAGUUCUUUCUUAUGAGUUCUCAUUAGAACCAUUUUUUAAAUAAUUGUAUUUUCUCUCAGCGUACUGUAGGCAGCACCGAUAAAGCGCAACAUUUGUGUGAUCUGUUUGUUUUUUACAACAGAGGCGAGUCGAAAAAACGUGGGAGUGUUUGUGUAUACGUGCCAUUAAUAUCAAACGGCAAAACCUGGCUCGAAGAAGAAGAAAGCUCAAUGUUCCUCACAUACACCCCUGGACUUGAACCAGUUCCUGCCCCUUUUCCCUUUUCACCCCACAUUCCACCUUUCCAACAGAGGCGCCAGUUUGUGUGUGAGUGUGUGAGUAUGAGAGUGUGUGUGUCCAUAAAAUACCUCUCCGGGGCAUAAAGCCGAGGAAUGUGGCCAAUGGAGUGGAUAAUGGCUGACUCACCAUGACCUCUGACCCAUAACAGCCAAAGAAGUCCUCCUCUGUUUCUGCUCACACUGAUUACAUGGUCAGACCUUACUGUGGCAGCUGUAUAAAACACACACACACACACACACACACACACACACACACACACACACACAUACACUCUCCUGAAAGAUAACAUAGAUCGGGUAUAAGAGUACACAAUAAAAGUCAAGCUACAGAGGAAAGAUCUGGAAAAAAUACUGAACAGUUACUAAUCCAGAACUUUCCGUACCCUUGUUGAGUACCUCUGUGUGUUUGGCUCACGGUAAUAGUGUAAAUGACUGUUCUAGUCAGUAUUUUCAGGUGCAAAUAGAAUGAAUAGAAGUUCUCUCGAUCCUAUUUGACACAAUAUAAGAAAAAUGAUACCGAUAGAGCUUAUUUGUACGUUAAAACGAUGUGAUGUGGGGAUGUCACUUGUCUACCUCACAGACUGGACCCCAGGAGUGCCAAUACUUUAACCUUAAUGUAAAUACAAUAAGAUGAACGAGAUGAAUAAGGGACGAACAGAGGGAAAGCCGAUUCAUUUGCCAUUCCUUCUUUCCGUUCUCCUGUUCAUUCUUUAUUCAUGUUAUCUUUAAACGAGAUAAAGAGAAGGUAGAGGAGAUGGUGAUGACCGUAGGAAGAGGAGGAGGAGAGGAAUGGGAGAGAUGGAAAUAUCAGGGAGGAUUCUUCAUACAGCACAGGGGCUGGUAUCUGACUAAACCUUAAAAGAAGUGUCAGUGAUAUUGAUAGAGAUAGCACUGACCCAUGUAAAGAGGCAGUGCGAGAGGCAUGCAU